GGGGGCUCCUUCGGGGGGGCCCCAAGAAGUGGGUCCUCUCCCUCAGAGCCCCAGAAAAGUGGGGGCUCUCCUCAGGGGAGCCCCAAAAAGUAGGUCUCUCUCUAGGGGGCCCCAAAAAAG